CUGAAACUCGCCUACAUGAAGCUGGAAUUGCUAGUAAUCACAGGUCAGCAUACUGUGGUGAAUACGUUCCCGGGCCUUGUACACACCGCCCGUCACACCAUGAGAGUUGAGAAUACCCGAAGGCCCCAUGUCAAAGUGGUCGAAGGUAGGCUUGAUGAUUGGGGUGAAGUCGUAACAAGGUAAC
rnacentral:rRNA from 1 species